rnacentral:lncRNA from 1 species
UCCACAUCCCCCUGCCUUUUCCGAGAAAAGGACAGUUAGUGCCUGGACCAGGACCAUCACACUGGGGACCGGCUUCUCUGCUCUCCCGUUAUGGGGGUCGGGGGAAUGAUGGGUCAAGGGUCUUCCGAAGAAAGCGAGAAAGGAACAGGCGCCUUCAAAAGCCCACUUGGCGAUGGGUUACAGUAAGAGGAAGUCUGCAUUAUCACGAGGAGCUUGGAAAGGAGGUAACACACUCAAGGCAAAUUUCAAGUAACUCAUCCUGGAGGCAGCUGCCUACUCUGCAGCUGUGGUUCUCCACCACAGAGAGAAGAAAAGGGAGGGAGAUGGAGUGCGCAGGUCUGAGAAGGCUUUCAUUCUGGAGCAUCUGCAGGAGCCUGCACCAUGGCCCAGUAGCACCCCUUUUUCUCCAUGAGCUGCUGGUGGGUUCCCCCCUCCCGGAUAGCGCCUCCUUCCAGAAAGAGGAUGUGGUCAGCCUGCUCCACCAGGCUGAGGUGCUGGGUGAUGAGAAGCACUGAGCGGGAGUACCGCUCAGGGCUUUCGUACAGGAGCUGCUCCACCUGAGGAAAGACAUCGGACCGUCAGAGCCGGGGACUACCCUCAGCCCAGGGAGACACCUGUGUUUCCAGGGCUGGGACUGACCUCACAGGAUCACUGCUGGCUCUGCUAACAACCCCAAGGACACCAACGUUUCCCAUUCUGAGUACUUCUCCGCAAACCCUUUGUUUCAUUAAGGACUGUUUUACAUGAAGGGUGCAAAAGUAGGAUAAAAAUGAGAACCCUAGGGUGAAACACGUGACAGAAGAAUAAAGACUAUUGAAUAGUCCUCUUCUCUACCCAUGGACUUGGCAUUUUUAUAUUCGAUUUUAAGGAAAUAUAACUUAGUAGUAAAGAGAUGAGCAUUCAAGUCAGGCAGACCUGAAUUUGGGUCAAGGCUGCGCCACUCAAAAGCUAUAUGACCUCUAUAUGAGCAGCUUAUUCAACCUCUUUUAACCUCCAUUUUGUCAUCUGUAGAAUGAUGAUAAAUGCCUAGCUCAGAAGGAUUCCUAAUGAAUAAAUGAGUGACAGUGCAUGUAAACAGACUAGCUUAAUUAAUAUUAAUAUGAUUAGGAUGGGCUGGGCCCAGUGGCUCAUGCCUAUAAUCCUAGCACUUUGGGAGGUCAAGGAGGGAGGAUCACUUGGGCCCAGGAGUUCAAGGCCAGCCUGGGCAACAUAGCGGGACGCUGUCUGUACAAAAAAUAAUUUUUUUAAAUAAACGAUAUUAUGAGGAUGGUC